UACGGGGGGAGCAAGCGUUGUUCGGAUUUACUGGGCGUAAAGGGCGCGUAGGCGGUCAGCACAAGUCAGUUGUGAAAUCUCCGGGCUUAACUCGGAAAGGUCAACUGAUACUGUGCGACUAGAGUGCAGAAGGGGCAACUGGAAUUCUCGGUGUAGCGGUGAAAUGCGCAGAUAUCGGGAGGAACACCGGUGGCGAAGGCGGUUCUCUGGGCCUGACCUGACGCUGAGGAGCGAAAGCGUGGGGAGCGAACAGG
rnacentral:rRNA from 1 species